rnacentral:sRNA from 1 species
AUAAAGAUUCAAAGUAAAGUAAGAACAAGAAACUGUAAAUCGGUGAGACAAUACAAAGAAAGAAAAAACAAAGAAGUAGGAAGACGACGAAGAGAGAAGAAGAAGAG